UCUGGGAUGGGUAGAAUCUGCUAGCAGAAAGGAAGUUCUUCAAGUGAUUGCUCAUAUCAAUUCAAGCUGCAAAUUUUCAAGCCUCUCUCCUCUAUCCUGAAGGCUAUCUCAGAUAAGGCGGCAAAAAAAAAAAAAACAACGCACGUGCAAUGAAAUGUUCUCUGAGAUCAUGCAAUGAAAGAGCUCAUCUGAAUGUGUGGAAGGACACAUCAUCACAGUAAAGGAAAGUGGCCAAUGAACAUGAGGACAGGAGGAAUGAUCGAGAUGAGAAGUGGCGGCAGGAAUAUCAGAGGAGGCAGGAUGCAACGCUGGGGCUACUGCAGGAUCAAAAGGACAUGCUCCAGCAUCUGGUGGAGCUUCAGGAAUGGCAGGAGGAUCACAGAGUGCUGCUACAGCCCUCGUUUAACCGCCCUCUCCCCUCACCAAGUUCCAUAGCCUCCUCAUCCAGACACCCAAGAAUGCGAGGGGAGGAGGGGGGCUCCAUGCACCCUGCCACUCCACCCCAGUGGACAGCCCAAGCAACAGAAGACUCAUUCAACAAGUUUUGAAGUGGCCUUUUCCUUCCCUCCUCCCACACCCCACCCUAUUUUUAUAAUCAAUUAAUAAAGAAUACAUGAUUUUUAAA